GAUGAACGCUAGCGGCAGGCCUAACACAUGCAAGUCGAGGGGCAGCACAGAAACAGCAAUGUUUUGGUGGCGACCGGCGGACGGGUGCGUAACGCGUAUGCAACCUACCUUUAACAGGGGGAUAACGGAGAGAAAUUUCCACUAAUACCCCAUAACAUCGAUCAAGGCAUCUUGAUUGGUUGAUAACUCCGGUGGUUAAAGAUGGGCAUGCGUUGUAUUAGGUAGUUGGUGAGGUAAUGGCUCACCAAGCCUACGAUACAUAGGGGGACUGAGAGGUUAGCCCCCCACACUGGUACUGAGACACGGACCAGACUCCUACGGGAGGCAGCAGUGAGGAAUAUUGGUCAAUGGGGGCAACCCUGAACCAGCCAUGCCGCGUGCAGGAAGACGGCUCUAUGAGUUGUAGACUGCUUUUAAACAGGGAUAAAGCACAGUAUGUAUACUGUGUUGAAGGUACUGUAAGAAUAAGGAUCGGCUAACUCCGUGCCAGCAGCCGCCGUAA
rnacentral:rRNA from 1 species